GGAAGGUUGUGCAAGGCUCUUCAUCUCAGCUUUUUUUCUGUAAGCACAGAGGAUGGCAGGGGGCACUGCUUUAGAGAGUCUGCUCUUCACACUGCUGAGCUUGACAGCUCAAGACCCCAUUUUCUCUUUUGGAAGAAAGUCAUAUGGGUUUGGAAUACCAUGAGGAAAAGAAAAUUGUGACAGAAUUUCCAUCAAGAUGCUUCUUCAGACAAUUUCAUCCAAAGUGACUUACAGUGCAUUCAAGGGGCACCAGGGUCAGCCACCACAACAUGAUGAAGAGAGUGUAAAGAUGCAGCAAGACCUGUCAAACGCAGGAAACCUGUCAAAUGCAUUUCAGCACUGUUCAAAGAAAUACACAGACAAUCUGUAUUAGACUACAUGAAAAAAAAUGAAAAAAAGAUUGACUGCACCACAAAGAUCAGACAUAGUUAGCAAACGUUAAGUGCACAAGUUGAUUCAACAAAUUAGCUUAACAUCGCGCUUUCCCUUGCAUGCCCGACC